GACGAACGCUGGCGGCGUGCUUAACACAUGCGAGUCGAACGGAAAGGCCCUGCUUUUGUGGGGUGCUCGAGUGGCGAACGGGUGAGUAACACGUGAGUAACCUGCCCUUGACUUUGGGAUAACUUCGGGAAACUGGGGCUAAUACCGGAUAGGAGCUCCUGCUGCAUGGUGGGGGUUGGAAAGUUUCGGCGGUUGGGGAUGGACUCGCGGCUUAUCAGCUUGUUGGUGGGGUAGUGGCUUACCAAGGCUUUGACGGGUAGCCGGCCUGAGAGGGUGACCGGCCACAUUGGGACUGAGAUACGGCCCAGACUCCUACGGGAGGCAGCAGUGGGGAAUAUUGCACAAUGGGCGGAAGCCUGAUGCAGCAACGCCGCGUGCGGGAUGACGGCCUUCGGGUUGUAAACCGCUUUCGCCUGUGACGAAGCGUGAGUGACGGUAAUGGGUAAAGAAGCACCGGCUAACUACGU
rnacentral:rRNA from 1 species